rnacentral:rRNA from 1 species
AUUGAACGCUGGCGGCAUGCCUUACACAUGCAAGUCGAACGGUAACAGGUCUUCGGACGCUGACGAGUGGCGAACGGGUGAGUAAUGCAUCGGAACGUGCCCAGUCGUGGGGGAUAACUGCUCGAAAGAGCAGCUAAUACCGCAUACGACCUGGGGGUGAAAGCGGGGGACCGUAAGGCCUCGCGCGAUUGGAGCGGCCGACGUCAGAUUAGCUAGUUGGUGGGGUAAAGGCCUACCAAGGCAACGAUCUGUAGUUGGUCUGAGAGGACGACCAGCCACACUGGGACUGAGACACGGCCCAGACUCCUACGGGAGGCAGCAGUGGGGAAUUUUGGACAAUGGGCGCAAGCCUGAUCCAGCAAUGCCGCGUGCAGGAAGAAGGCCUUCGGGUUGUAAACUGCUUUUGUCGGGGAAGAAAUCUUCUGGGCUAAUACCCCGGGAGGAUGACGGUACCUGAAGAAUAAGCACCGGCUAACUACGUGCCAGCAGCCGCCGUAACAC